AUUGAACGCUGGCGGCAUGCUUUACACAUGCAAGUCGAGCGGUAACAGGCCUUCGGGUGCUGACGAGUGGCGAACGGGUGCGUAAUGCAUCGGAACGUACCCAGAGGUGGGGGAUAACGCAGCGACAGCUGUGCUAAUACCGCAUGUGAUCUGAGGAUGAAAGCGGGGGACCGAGCAGCAAUGUUUGGCCUCGCGCCUUUGGAGCGGCCGAUGUCGGAUUAGCUAGUUGGUGGGGUAAAGGCCUACCAAGGCGACGAUCCGUAGCUGGUCUGAGAGGACGACCAGCCACACUGGGACUGAGACACGGCCCAGACGCCUAAGGGAGGCAGCAGUGGGGAAUUUUGGACAAUGGGCGCAAGCCUGAUCCAGCAAUGCCGCGUGCGGGAAGAAGGCCUUCGGGUUGUAAACCGCUUUUGGCAGGAACGAAACGGUGUCCGCUAAUACCGGGCGCUAAUGACGGUACCUGCAGAAUAAGCACCGGCUAACUACGUG
rnacentral:rRNA from 1 species